rnacentral:rRNA from 1 species
UGAGGAAUAUUGGUCAAUGGACGCAAGUCUGAACCAGCCAAGUAGCGUGCAGGAUGACGGCCCUAUGGGUUGUAAACUGCUUUUAUAUGGGGAUAAAGUGGGGAACGUGUUCCCUUUUGCAGGUACCAUAUGAAUAAGGACCGGCUAAUUCCGUGCCAGCAGCCGCGGUAAUACGGAAGGUUCGGGCGUUAUCCGGAUUUAUUGGGUUUAAAGGGAGCGUAGGCCGUUUGGUAAGCGUGUUGUGAAAUGUAGGAGCUCAACUUCUAGAUUGCAGCGCGAACUGUCAGACUUGAGUGCGCACAAAGUAGGCGGAAGUCAUGGUGUAGCGGUGAAAUGCUUAGAUAUCAUGAAGAACUCCGAUUGCGAAGGCAGCUUACGGGAGCGCAACUGACGCUGAAGCUCGAAGGUGCGGGUAUCGAACAGG